UCCGUUAGGUGUAUGGGUUCCACAGA
rnacentral:piRNA from 1 species